rnacentral:rRNA from 1 species
AUUGAACGCUGGCGGCAGGCCUAACACAUGCAAGUCGAGCGGAGCGGCGGACGGGUGAGUAAUGCCUAGGAAUCUGCCUGGUAGUGGGGGAUAACGUCCGGCAACGGGCGCUAAUACCGCAUACUCUCAGAUGAGCCUAGGUCGGAUUAGCUAGUUGUUGGGGUAAAGGCCUAACAUGGCGACGAUCCGUAAAUGGUCUGAGAGGAUGAUCAGUCACGCUGGAACUGAGAAACGGGCCAUACGCCUACGGGUGGCAGCAGUGGGGAAUGUUGGAGAAUGGGCGAAAGCCUGAUCCAGCCAUGCGGCGUGUGUGAAGAAGGUCUUCGGAUUGUAAAGCACUUUAAGUUGGGAGGCGUUACCAACAGAAUAAGCACCGGCUAACUUCGUGCCAGCAGCCGCGGUAAUUC